rnacentral:lncRNA from 1 species
AAGAGUAUAAUUUUGGGGAUUUUUGGCUAAAAAUGGCGUUUUUACGCCAGACCAGACCAGAGCAGAGAAAUCGUCUCAGACAGAGCAGAGAACUCACUAAGUCAGAGAAAAGCGCCAGAGGAGAGAAAAGCGCCAGAGGAGUCGACCGUCAGAGGAAUCGAGGCGAGCGUGGACAUGCCAGAGAAAUCACCCGCCAGAGCGGAGGAAGCGCCAGAGGAAUCAAGGCGCCAGAGGAAUCAAGGCGCCAGAGGAGUCAAUAUGCCAGAGGGUAGAGAUACGUCAGAGGAAUCAAUACCAGAGCGGAACCCAUUCCGCUGACAAGAUCAGAGAAGUCAUCCGUUCCUCUGGCGAUAACCAUUCCUCUGGCGAGAGCCGCGAUUUCCGCCCGAGUGGAGAUUACUUGCUGAGCGCGUCAUAGCUGGAGUUACCUUAUCAUCUACGAUUCUAUUCCUUUUAGAGUCCGGCUUUGCAUGGUAAUUUCCAUGGUGAUCCAGAAGGAGUUGAAGUCUAUAAAUAGGGCCAUAGUUUUCAUUGUAUAAUCAAUCUUUUGCCCUAGUUUUAGACGCCACCUUGCGAUUUGUUGGCAUCAAAAGCUUAGGAAUUU